AUGCUUCAGCAGCACAUAUACUAAAAUUGGAACGAUACAGAGAAGAUUAGCAUGGCCUCUGCGCAAGGAUGACAUGCAAAUUUGUGAAGUGUUCCAUAUUUUU
rnacentral:snRNA from 1 species